GAGUAAUACGUGGGUAACCUGCCCAAGAGACUGGGAUAACACCUGGAAACAGAUGCUAAUACCGGAUAACAACACUAGACGCAUGUCUAGAGUUUGAAAGAUGGUUCUGCUAUCACUCUUGGAUGGGCCUGCAGUGCAUUAGCUAGUUGGUAAGGUAACGGCUUACCAAGGCAAUGAUGCAUAGCCGAGUUGAGAGACUGAUCGGCCACAUUGGGACUGAGACACGGCCCAAACUCCUACGGGAGGCAGCAGUAGGGAAUCUUCCACAAUGGACGAAAGUCUGAUGGAGCAACGCCGCGUGAGUGAAGAAGGGUUUCGGCUCGUAAAGCUCUGUUGGUAGUGAAGAAAGAUAGAGGUAGUAACUGGCCUUUAUUUGACGGUAAUUACUUAGAAAGUCACGGCUAACUACGUGCCAGCAGCCGCGGUAAUACGUAGGUGGCAAGCGUUGUCCGGAUUUAUUGGGCGUAAAGCGAGUGCAGGCGGUUCAAUAAGUCUGAUGUGAAAGCCUUCGGCUCAACCGGAGAAUUGCAUCAGAAACUGUUGAACUUGAGUGCAGAAGAGGAGAGUGGAACUCCAUGUGUAGCGGUGGAAUGCGUAGAUAUAUGGAAGAACACCAGUGGCGAAGGCGGCUCUCUGGUCUGCAACUGACGCUGAGGCUCGAAAGCAUGGGUAGCGAACAGGAUUAGAUACCCUGGUAGUCCAUGCCGUAAACGAUGAGUGCUAAGUGUUGGGAGGUUUCCGCCUCUCAGUGCUGCAGCUAACGCAUUAAGCACUCCGCCUGGGGAGUACGACCGCAAGGUUGAAACUCAAAGGAAUUGACGGGGGCCCGCACAAGCGGUGGAGCAUGUGGUUUAAUUCGAAGCAACGCGAAGAACCUUACCAGGUCUUGACAUCCAGUGCAAACCUAAGAGAUUAGGUGUUCCCUUCGGGGACGCUGAGACAGGUGGUGCAUGGCUGUCGUCAGCUCGUGUCGUGAGAUGUUGGGUUAAGUCCCGCAACGAGCGCAACCCUUGUCAUUAGUUGCCAUCAUUAAGUUGGGCACUCUAAUGAGACUGCCGGUGACAAACCGGAGGAAGGUGGGGAUGACGUCAAGUCAUCAUGCCCCUUAUGACCUGGGCUACACACAUGCUACAAUGGACGGUACAACGAGAAGCGAACCUGCGAAGGCAAGCGGAUCUCUUAAAGCCGUUCUCAGUUCGGACUGUAGGCUGCAACUCGCCUACACGAAGCUGGAAUCGCUAGUAAUCGCGGAUCAGAAUGCCGCGGUGAAUACGUUCCCGGGUCUUGUACACACCGCCCGUCA
rnacentral:rRNA from 1 species